rnacentral:misc_RNA from 1 species
GGCUCUAGGACCCCUUGGUGCCUUGGAGCGCCUUAAGCCUUUAAUAACUAUAUUUCUCCCCCUCUCGUGUCUCCAACUUUUGUUAUAAAUUGGCUAAAGAUUUACGAUAAACCUCGCCAACCAUUUUCUUAGUUUCCUCCCUUGCUAACUUAUAUUUCUCAAAGGCCUCCUAAUUCCUAUCAUCUGUAGUUGUUAUCCUUCUACAUCCUUCUUUUUUCUUCUUAAUAGCCUUUUAACUACCAUAACUCUUGUGGGCAUGUCUUAUGCCUUUAAAUAAGCCUAGUAAUAUCCACUGCUAGUUUUUUAAUGCAGCUCGGCAUUACCCUUCGUGCAAU